rnacentral:rRNA from 1 species
UACGUAGGGCGCAAGCGUUAUCCGGAAUUAUUGGGCGUAAAGAGCUCGUAGGCGGUUUGUCGCGUCUGCCGUGAAAGUCCGGGGCUCAACUCCGGAUCUGCGGUGGGUACGGGCAGACUAGAGUGCAGUAGGGGAGACUGGAAUUCCUGGUGUAGCGGUGAAAUGUGCAGAUAUCAGGAGGAACACCGAUGGCGAAGGCAGGUCUCUGGGCAUUAACUGACGCUGAGGAGCGAAAGCAUGGGGAGCGAACAGG